UCUCUUGGGCCUGGGUUGCUUGCUGAGAAGGAGUGCUGCAUGACCAGAGAGCCCUGUCACCAGUUGGAGAAACGUGUUAGGCAGCUGAGGGAACCAGGAGCAACUCUGACCCUUCUGAAAAUCAAGCAGAGGCCAUGAUUUGGAGAGACUCUUCUGCUUCCAUGGUAUUAUGUGGAGGUGGGAGCUACAGCUGAAGGUAGAAGAGAUAUUCCCUGACCAUGACUGGAGCAUUAUUUUGACACCACUGAGUAUUUCAAAACGGAUGAGGAUAUGCACUGUUUUACUGAAAAUGACAGGCUUGGCAGAAACCUAAGGAAGCCAGAUAUCCUGGAGACACUUGUGGAUUGGGGUCUAUUUGUUUGGAUUUCUUUUUUUGUCAACUCUACACUCGUAAAGAAGGAUGCAACAAUUGAUCAGUUCUCGAUUGCUGGUAGUUCACCUGAUGUGUGGCAGUAGCCAGCAGAAGGGAAUGCUUAGGGCUCAAUCCAUACAGCCUCCACAGAAAUUAAAGAAUUGAUUUUUUUUUUUUUUUGUCGUGAGUGCCAGAGCAAAUGAUUACUGCUGUGCUGUCACUCUAAUUACCUGCUAAACUGAAGCUUAGAUUAUGGUGUGCUGAAGCUGGUUAAAAGUCUAUUGGUAAGGAAUAAUGCAAUCAUGCUAACUUGACAAAUGCUAAUGGAAAAGAGAGCAUUAACUAAAAUCUAGUCUCUCUUACUGAGGUUCUGCCUGUGAGCCCUCGGCCCCAAACUAUAUCAAGGUGCUGGGAGGGUUUGUCCAAGCGCCAUUCCUAGCGCUUGUGGGCCUGAAUAUAGGCAUCAGCUGACAGCUUUCUCAGCUCUUUGCUCUGCAGUGUUCUCUGUAUCCAACAAGCUGGGCAAACAACAGAGUAUGAGCAGUUUGUGUAGCAGUGGGAUGUUUCAUGCCUCGCUUCCUUCAGAAAGAAAAUCUUAUUACUUUCUUUUUCCCUUGUUUAAAUUAAAAAAAAAAGCAGCAAAACUGAUUUGAUUAACUUUUCUUCCUUCUCUUCCUGCUUCCCCUUCUCCUCUUUAUCAAAUGAUGCUGCUAUUUGGAGAAAGUAAAGCUUAAUUAGUGUAAUGAAUUUUUGUAAGAUUAGAAAAUUAAAUAAAAUUAGAAAUCAUUAGUGCGAUACCUUGCAUAUUCGCUUGGUAACAUACAGACCUCCUACCCCAUGCAUUGUGACAAAGGACUCCCCAACAGUUACCACAAACUGGUGUGGACAAUGCAAAAAAAAUCUGCAGAUAUUCUCUCAUGCCUUACAGAUGUAUCUCAACAGUAUUAGUUUGCCUUUAAUGGAUUCAUAGUUAAUCUGUAGUAGAGCAUAUUGUACACAUAGUUAGACUCUUUGGGAUUGGUCCUGUAGUGACUUAAGCCAUCCAUCCGGAGACUGGAAGCAAUUUAAUGAGAUUUAUAUAAACAACUUGUCUGUCAGUUUUGCAAGAGCUUUAUAGUUGAGUACAUCCUAAGUGUUAACAGCAUGAGGAUCAAAGUGAUACGUUUAGGAUUUCUUCCAAAGCUUAGUUAUUUGUUUUGAAGAAUGUGCCAGUCAUUGUAAGUAAUUAAAUAAAGGUCAAAUUUGUUUUUAUCCUGUCAAUACACACGGAAAAAUAACAUGAAGUGUAUUUUCACUGUCUGGAACAUUUCUAAUACCUCAUGAUAAAAAGCAAGAGACAGACUUCAUUAAUUGGAUAGCAUCUAUGGCUUUGUAGUAGCAC